UCGAACUCCUGAGCUCAAAUGAUCCGCCUGCCUCGCCCUCCCAGAGUGCUAGGAUUUUACAGGUGUGAGCCACCGAGUCCGGCCUACCCCACUGGCAUUUAAAGGUGUGGUUCUUUCAUUCUCCUUGCCCUAGGGACACCAGGAAGGACAAGUCCCUCUGCACGGAUGAGCAUGUCAGCAUCUGCCUUUCGGCUUCUCAGAUUGCUGCUCUGCGCGUCCGCACACUUGCCAGCAUUUCUCCGGGGACGUCCCAGGAGCAGAAUUGCUGGGCAUGGGGUCUCCGGGCCACAGCCACCCACGGGCCGACGCUGGGGCCUUCUGCCAGGAGCCACAGGAGGGCCAUAGUCUCCAGCCAGCCGGACACCUUCCUGCACAGAGGCCUCUCUGUCCUCACCGCUGCUAGCUCCUCCUCUGGGCCCUGGGGACAGCCUGGCCUGGCCUGCCCGCUGCAAGACAAAGCCACUUUUUCCUGUGUCCCAGAUCCCCACCUGGUGACCAGCUCCCCUUGGCUCUGGUCGUCCUCUGCCCCAGCCCCUUCCCCUGGCUGGACACCUCCAGCUGCUCUCCUGGCUCGAAUAACCCUGUCCUUCGUCCCAUUCCCCUGCCCCAGGGCCUCUGCUGUGUUUCCAGCUGGGAUCGGGUCACUCUGUCUCUGUCUGGUCAGUCCAGACGGGGUGAGGCUGUGUUCUCCUUCUGGGAGCCCAGCCCAGGGCUGACCAGUAGGACCCUCUAGAAGCCAGGGUGGUGCUCAGGAUGCCUGGACCCCGCCUCCACCUUUGCCCUUCUCCAAGCCCUGCUCCAGGCCCCUCACCCCACCAUCUUCCCAGACUCACUAAUGCCACGGACACCUGGCCAAUGACACAGGGGCUGCCUUGGUCCCCCGGCCGGCCUUCCUUGAUCCCUUCUUGGGGAGGCCUCAGCUGACCUGCCUAUCUGCGCCUCUGUGUCCUUAGACCUGAGGCACUGGUGUCUGUGUCUCAGGCUGUAGGGGCAGCUUCCCUGGCCAGGGAGUGUCCUGGGUCCACUUCUCCUCUGGGAUCAUCCACCUGAAGUUGGGGCUCAUUCAUAGUAAGGAACUUUGAUGGGGGCCCUGUGUCUUUCCUGUGCUGAGGUCUGAUCACGUCCUCUUUCCACUCUG